AACCGAACAAAAAUGAAAUUAAAAGGCAAAGAACUGAAAAUGAUUGCUGGAAAAUAAGAACAGCCGAACCAAAGCUCAAGAACACAAGACAGAAUUUCAAGGAAACAAGCUUAAACAUGAACAAUUGAAAGAGAAGGAAGGAAGGAGAAAAGAAUGCUCAUGAAGAUGGAUGUAAGGUUGGAUGAUCACGCCACUAGAAGGAUGGUUGCUCCUAGAUGAG
rnacentral:lncRNA from 1 species